rnacentral:sRNA from 1 species
GCUGGGUGUGGUGAUGCACGCUUGUAAUCCCAGUGGCUCAGGAGGCUGAGGCAGGAGGAUUUUGAGUUCAAAGCCAGCCUCAGCAACUUAGCAAGACCCUAAGCAACUCAGUGAGACCCUGUCUCUA